AUCCUAAAAAGCGGUUUACCUAAACCGUUGGGAGAAUAGGUUUUCCCCUUGUUUUCCCUUUUCAUAAAUCUCCUGGGCACCUAUCUUCUUAGGUGCCCUCCCUUGUUUAAACCUGACCAGUUAACCGGCUGGUUAGGU
rnacentral:sRNA from 1 species